rnacentral:rRNA from 1 species
ACGAACGCUGGCGGCGUGCUUAACACAUGCAAGUCGCACGGAAAGGCCCUGCUUUUGUGGGGUUCUCGCGUGGCGAACGGGUGAGUAACACGUGAGUUACCUGCCCUUGACUUUGGGUUAACUUCAGGAAACUUGGGCUAAUACCGGAUAGGAGCUCCUGCUGCAUGGUGGGGUUGGAAAGUUUCGGCGGUUGGGGAUGGACUCGCGGCUUAUCAGCUUGUUUGUGGGGUAGUGGCUUACCAAGGCUUUGACGGGUAUCCGGCCUGAGAGGGUGACCGGCGACAUUGGGACUGAGAUACGGACCAGACGCCUACGGGAGGCAGCAGUGGGGAAUAUUGCACAAUGGGAGGAAGCCUGAUGCAGCAACGCCGCGUGCGGGAUGAAGGCCUUCGGGUUGUAAAAAGCAUUCGCAUGUGACGAAGCGUGAGUGACGGUAAUGGGUAAAGAAGCACCGGCUAACUACGUG